GAUGAACGCUGGCGGCGUGCUUAACACAUGCAAGUCGAACGGAGAAACGGUAGCUUGCUAUCUUUUUUAGUGGCGGACGGGUGAGUAACGCGUGGGUAACCUGCCCUUUGCAGGGGAUAACAGUGAGAAAUCGCUGCUAAUACCGCAUACCAACUUCUUUCGCAUGAAGGAAGUUUGAAAGAUUUAUCGGCAAAGGAUGGACCCGCGUUGGAUUAGCUAGUUGGUGAGAUAACAGCCCACCAAGGCAACGAUCCAUAGCCGGCCUGAGAGGGUGAACGGCCACACUGGGACUGAGACACGGCCCAGACUCCUACGGGAGGCAGCAGUGGGGAAUAUUGCACAAUGGGCGAAAGCCUGAUGCAGCGACGCCGCGUGAAGGAUGAAGGUCUUCGGAUUGUAAACUUCUAUCAGCAGGGAAGAAAGGGCCUAUGGCCUAUGACGGUACCUGACUAAGAAGCCCCGGCUAACUACGUG
rnacentral:rRNA from 1 species